AUAAAAUAUAAGAUUAUAUCCGGGUUACUUACAUUUUCCACAAUUCAUAUACACAACUCCAAGUCUAUAAAUAAUACUUUUUCAUCAUAUAAAACGUGAUACAUGAUCCAUAAUAAGAUUAAGACAGGUUACUUACAUUAAUUUGCUCACCAAAUGCCAAUUCUCCAAUACCUAGCAAGAUCAUUAAAUUACAUGUCACUUGCACAUUUAAUUUCUAUUUAUUUAUAAUCUU
rnacentral:lncRNA from 1 species